GAUGAACGCUAGCUACAGGCCUAACACAUGCAAGUCGCGGGGCAGCACGGGGGUUGCUUGCAAUUCCUGAUGGCGACUGGCGCACGGGUGAGUAACGCGUAUCCAACCUGCUUUUCACCACGGGAUAACCCGGCGAAAUUCGGACAAAUACCCUAAGUAGUUCAUUGACGACACCCGAUUUGUUCGGAAGUCUUACGGUUGAGGGAUGGGGAUGCGUCUGAUUGGCUUGACGGCGUGGUAACAGCCCACCGAGGCUACGAACGGUAGGGGUUCUGAGAGGAAGGUCCCCCAGACUGGAACUGAGACACGGUCCAGACUCCGACGGGGGGCAGCAGUAAGGAAUAUUGGGCGAUGAACGUAAGCCUGAACCAGCCAAGUAGCGUGCAGGAUGACUGCCGUAUGGGUUGUAAACUGCUUUUAUGCAGGGAUAAAGGGACCAACGUGUGGGUUUUUGCAGGUACCGCAUGAAUAAGGACCGGCUAAUUCCGUG
rnacentral:rRNA from 1 species